UUCCAUUAUCAGAAAUAAAUCCAAGCGACGCUUUAUGAACCAGGGUAUUACUACAUGACGUACUCUGGCUAGCCCUACAUUCUUUUCCAAGCAUUAUUACAUCGGAAGAGUCAACAGCCGUCAUUCUCCAUGAUCGCUUACAUUAAAAAGAGUAGAGUGAAGACGUCACUCAAAUAAUUGCCUCAGAUCGGCAUGUGUAAAUAAUUGCC
rnacentral:lncRNA from 1 species